AGCGAACGCUGGCGGCAUGCUUAACACAUGCAAGCCGCACGGUCAGCAAUGGCAGUGGCGGACGGGUGAGUAACGCGUAGGGUAUCUAUCCUCGGUGGGGGACAACCNCGGGGAAACUGCUGCUAAUACCGCAUGAUACCUGAGGGUCAAAGGCGCAAGUCGCCUUAGGAGGAGCCUGCGUCUGAUUAGCUUGUUGGUGGGGUAAAGGCCUACCAAGGCGACGAUCAGUAGCUGGUCUGAGAGGAUGAUCAGCCACAUUGGGACUGAGACACGGCCCAAACUCCUACGGGAGGCAGCAGUGGGGAAUAUUGGACAAUGGGCGAAAGCCUGAUCCAGCAAUGCCGCGUGUGUGAAGAAGGUCUUCGGAUUGUAAAGCACUUUUGGCAGGGACGAUGAUGACGGUACCUGCAGAAUAAGCCCCGGCUAACUUCGUG
rnacentral:rRNA from 1 species